GACGAACGCUGGCGGCGUGCUUAACACAUGCAAGUCGAGCGGAAAGGCCACUUCGGUGGUACUCGAGCGGCGAACGGGUGAGUAACACGUGAGUAAUCUGCCCCUGGCUUUGGGAUAGCCACCGGAAACGGUGAUUAAUACCGGAUACGACCACUUCUCGCAUGGGAUGGUGGUGGAAAGUUUUUUCGGCCAGGGAUGUGCUCGCGGCCUAUCAGCUUGAUGGUGAGGUAAUGGCUCACCAUGGCUUCGACGGGUAGCCGGCCUGAGAGGGUGACUGGUCACACUGGGACUGAGACACGGCCCAGGCUCCUACGGGAGGCAGCAGUGGGGAAUAUUGGACAAUGGGCGGAAGCCUGAUCCAGCAACGCCGCGUGAGGGAUGACGGCCUUCGGGUUGUAAACCUCUUUCAGCAGGGACGAAGCGCAAGUGACGGUACCUGCAGAAGAAGCACCGGCCAACUACGUGCCAGCCGCCGCGGUAA
rnacentral:rRNA from 1 species